UGAAGCUGGAGUUACUAGUAAUCGCAGAUCAGAAUGCUGCGGUGAAUGCGUUCCCGGGUCUUGUACACACCGCCCGUCACACCACGGGAGUUGGAGACGCCCGAAGCCGAUUAUCUAACCUUUUGGAAGAAGUCGUCGAAGGUGGAAUCAAUAACUGGGGUGAAGUCGUAACAAGGUAGCCGUAUCGGAAGGUGCGGCUGGAUCACCUCCUUU
rnacentral:rRNA from 1 species